CGUCAGUCUUUGUCCAGGGGGCCGCCUUCGCCACCGGUAUUCCUCCAGAUCUCUACGCAUUUCACCGCUACACCUGGAAUUCUACCCCCCUCUACAAGACUCAAGCUUGCCAGUUUCAAAUGCAGUUCCCAGGUUGAGCCCGGGGAUUUCACAUCUGACUUAACAAACCGCCUGCGUGCGCUUUACGCCCAGUAAUUCCGAUUAACGCUUGCACCCUCCGUAUUACCGCGGCUGCUGGCACGGAGUUAGCCGGUGCUUCUUCUGCGAGUAACGUCAAUCGCUAAGGUUAUUAACCUUAACGCCUUCCUCCUCGCUGAAAGUACUUUACAACCCGAAGGCCUUCUUCAUACACGCGGCAUGGCUGCAUCAGGCUUGCGCCCAUUGUGCAAUAUUCCCCACUGCUGCCUCCCGUAGGAGUCUGGACCGUGUCUCAGUUCCAGUGUGGCUGGUCAUCCUCUCAGACCAGCUAGGGAUCGUCGCCUAGGUGAGCCAUUACCCCACCUACUAGCUAAUCCCAUCUGGGCACAUCUGAUGGCAUGAGGCCCGAAGGUCCCCCACUUUGGUCUUGCGACGUUAUGCGGUAUUAGCUACCGUUUCCAGUAGUUAUCCCCCUCCAUCAGGCAGUUUCCCAGACAUUACUCACCCGUCCGCCGCUCGUCACCCGAGAGCAAGCUCUCUGUGCUACCGCU
rnacentral:rRNA from 1 species